CCUGGCUCAGGAUGAACGCUGGCAGUAUGCUUUACACAUGCAAGUCGUACGGGAGUUUUUAACUCAAGUGGCGGACGGGUGAGUAACACGUAAGAAUUUGCCUUUAGGAGGGGGAUAACAACUGGAAACGGUUGCUAAUACCCCAUAUGCUUUCGAGUGAAAUGGAUUUCCGCCUAAAGAGAAGCUUGCGGCUGAUUAGCUUGUUGGUGAGGUAAUGGCUUACCAAGGCGACGAUCAGUAUCUGGUUUGAGAGGACGAUCAGACACACUGGAACUGAGACACGGUCCAGACUCCUACGGGAGGCAGCAGUGGGGAAUAUUGCGCAAUGGGGGCAACCCUGACGCAGCCAUGCCGCGUGAAUGAAGAAGGCCUUCGGGU
rnacentral:rRNA from 1 species